rnacentral:rRNA from 1 species
ACGCUCGACACCUACGGGGGGCAGCAGUCGGGAAUAUUGCGCAAUGGAGGAAACUCUGACGCAGUGACGCCGCGUGCAGGAAGAAGGUUUUCGGAUUGUAAACUGCUUUAGACAGGGAAGAAAGAAAUGACAGUACCUGUAGAAUAAGCUCCGGCUAACUACGUGCCAUCAGCCGCGGUAAUCUGAGCGGGCUGGCAAGGC